rnacentral:tRNA from 2 species
AAUGAAUUGCCUGAUAAAAGGGUUACCUUGAUAGGGUAAAUUAUGUAGAGUCCUACAUUCAUUG